AACGAACGCUGGCGGCAGGCCUAACACAUGCAAGUCGAGCGCCCGGAUUUAUCCGGGAGCGGCGCACGGGUGAGUAACGCGUGGGAACAUGCCCUGAAGUACGGAACAACCUGGGGAAACCUUGGCUAAUACCGUAUACUCCCUGAUGGGGAAAGAUUUAUCGCUUUGGGAUUGGCCCGCGUUGGGUUGGCUGGUUGUUGUGGUAACGGCGCACCAAGGCGACGAUACAUAACUGGGCUAAGAGGAUGACCAGUCACCCCGGGUCUGAGACACGGCCCAGACGCCUACGGGAGGCAGCAGUGGGGAAUAUUGGACAAUGGCGAAAGCCUGAUCCAGCCAUGCCGCGUGAGUGAAGAAGGCCUUCGGGUUGUAAAGCUCUUUCAGCGGGGACGAUGAUGACGGUACCCGCAGAAGAAGCCCCGGCUAACUUCGUGCCAGCCGCCGCAGUAA
rnacentral:rRNA from 1 species